AUCCCGCGCGCCUUUUCUCGAAAAUAUCUUCUUUUUUAUUGUUAUAUAAUAUAUUAAGUAAUGUACUUUUUUGUCUGUUUAUAUAAUAUUUAUUUUUCACAUUAUAAGAAGAGUGAAAAUAUGAAGAAGAUUAACAUCUGUUAAUAAUAAUGAGAUGUGCACGCACUGAUGUCAAAAUCCACAAUUCAAGGAAGGUCAGAAAAGAGUAUGAGGAGAAAAGAAGCUUAUUUAGAAGAAGCGAUGUCGACACACUCUGCGGUGGGAAUACCCGAUAGAGAGCGAAAAUAAGAACUAAAAUGGAGAAACUACAGAAAAACAGGCGCAACUACAACCCCGUAUGGAUCAAUUGGACAAGAAAGGAAUAAAAUACGGAACAAAUUCGUUUGAGGAACGGGAAUGUAAAUCGUCUUCAGAAUACACAAAAUAAUCAGGUGCAGGUUAAGAAGAAU